rnacentral:rRNA from 1 species
ACCGAAAGGUGGUCUAAUACUUCAUAAUAUCCAUCUCGUAUGGAUUAAAGCUUUAUGCGCUUUGGGAGGGGCCUGCGUAACAUUAGCUUGUUGGUGAGGUAAAAGCUCACCAUGGCUUCGAUGUUUAACUGGUUUGAGAGGAUGACCAGUCACACUGGGCUGAGAUACGGCCCAGACUCCUACGGGAGGCAGCAGUAAGGAAUCUUCCACAAUGGGGCAACCCUGAUGGAGCAAUACCGCGUGCAGGAUGAAGCGUUUCGGCGUGUAAACUGCUUUUAUCACCGAAGAUUAUGACUGUAGGUGAAGAAUAAGGACCGGCUAACUACGUG